rnacentral:lncRNA from 1 species
GUAAUCUUGUUGAAAAGGCAAAUGAGUGUGAGAAGUUGGUUGAGAUGGAGAUUAAACAUCAUGCUAUUGGAGAAGAAGAAAAAUUGAAAAACAAGAAGAAUGGCAUGAGAAGAGUGAAUCAUGUUGAUCUCUACGUGGCAUUUGAGUCUCAACCAAUGGAAUUUAAAGAGAGAAAUCAGUUGCAAAAUUUUUUUCAUUCUUCUCUAAGGUGGGAAAGUGCAAAUUCAAAGAGCUUAGUUGUUGGAAG